CUCCCAGCGCGCCUGGCGCGGCUGCGCGACGCGGAUCGUCGUGCCCGCGCUCUCGCGCACGUACGUGUGCCAGCGCUGGCCGCCGGCGUCGAGCGUCACGAAGCCGGCCGCGGCGGGCGGCGGCAGUUGCGUGGCCGGGUCGGUCGUGAACUCGAGCUUGCCGCCGCGCCACACCUGCAGCAGCACGUCGUCGGAAUCGUAGUCGGCCGGAUGGCGCUUGGCGAGCCUGUCACGUCCCUCGAUCGACAGCUUGCCGGCGUCGUCGACCUGAAUCUGCUUCGACAUGCUGCGCAUCUGGUCGUCGAGCAGAUCGUCGAGCUCGCGCAGCGCGCCCCAAUAGGUGCCCGUGCUCGCGAGCACGCCGACGACGCACGCGGCGGGCAGCAGCCACAUCAGCAGCCGCCCGCGCAGCGACGCGUUCAGGCGCCGCGCGAAUCCGCGCGCGCCCGUCAUGCGCCGUCUCCGAUCCGGUAGCCGACGCCGCGCACCGUGAGGAUCGUGUCGUGGCCGAGCUUCUUGCGCAGGUUGUGGAUAUGCACCUGCACCGCGUUGCUCUCGAUUUCCUCGCCCCAGCUGUACAGCCGCUCCUCGAACUGCUCGCGCGAGAUCACCGCGCCCGGCUCGCGCAUCAGCUCGUGCAGCAGCACGAAUUCCUUCGGCGACAGCGCGACUUCCUCGUCGCCGCGCCACACCUGAUGGCGCGCCGGAUCGAGCCGCAGCGCGCCGACCGCGAGCACCGUCUGCGCGCGGCCGGCCUGGCGGCGGUUCACCGCGCGGAUGCGCGCGAGCAGUUCCUCGAGCGCGAACGGCUUGACGAGGUAAUCGUCCGCGCCGCAAUCGAGGCCCGCGAUCCGGUCGGGCAGCGCGUCGCGCGCGGUGACGACGAUCACGGGCAGCGCGUCGUCGCGGCGGCGCAGCGCGGCGAGCACCGCGAGGCCGUCCUUGUCCGGCAGGCCGAGGUCGAGCAGCAGCAGGCCGUACGACGUCGUGCGCAGCGCGAGCGUCGCCGCGUCGGCGUUCUGCGCCCAGUCCACCGCGAAGCCUUCCUGUUUCAGCCCCUGUUCGAGCCCGCUGCCGAUGAGCGGAUCGUCUUCGACAAGCAAUACGCGCAUGUUCGGUGAUUCCGUCUGAAUGCGGCGCGCGCAUGCGGGCCGCUGGCGGCAAUGAUAAGCGGUGGAUGCUUAGCGGCGGCUUAAAGUGGCGCGGCGUCGGCGCCGUCGCCGGCGAGGGAGCGGGUGAUACCAUGUCCGAUCGACUUUCCGAGCGAUCACGAUGCCCGCCGAUUUCGACGAACUCGCGUCCCUGAUUCGGGCGCAAUUUUCCGAGCUGAGCCCGCAAUUCCAGGUGGGCGCGGCGUUCCUGCUCGAUCAUCCCGACGAGGUGGCCGUGUCGUCGAUGCGCAAGGUCGCGCAGCGCGCGAAUGUGCAGCCGGCCUCGCUCGUGCGGCUCGCGCAGCAGUUCGGCUUUCCGGGCUGGAACGAACUGCGCGACCUGUUCGUCGCGCGCGUGCGCACGCGGCCGCAGCCGCUCACGCAGCGCGCGCGCUCGCUCGUGAAGCCGAAUGCGAAGGCGUCGCUCGCGGCCGAUCUGCUCGCCGCGCAGCGGCACAACCUCGAGGCGAGCGCCGCGCAGAACGCGCGGGCGCUCGCCGAGGCGGCGAAGCUGAUCCGCAAGGCCGCGCACGUGCAUGUCGCGGGCUUCCGCUCGUGCUACCCGGUCGCGUUCGGGUUCGUCUACGGCUAUCGGCUGUUCCGGCCGACGGUGUCGCUGCUCACGGGCGUCGCGGGCUCGCUCGACAUGGAGCUGCGCACGAUCGCGAAGAACAGCGUGACCGUGGUCGUCAGCUUCGCGCCGUAUUCGGCCGAAGCGACGCGCGUCGCGCAGGCGGCGCGCGCGCAGGGCGGCAGGAUCGUCGCGAUCACCGACAGCGCGGUGUCGCCGAUCGCGCUGCACGCGGAUGCGCAACUGAUCUUCACGCACGACAGCCCGUCGUUCUUCCCGUCGCUCGUCGCCGCGCAUGCGCUCGUGGAGACGCUCGUCGCACAACUGCUCGCGCUCGAGGGCGGCGAGGCGAUCGCGGCGCUCGAGCAGGCCGAGGCCGAAUUGCACGCGAAGGGCGCCUACGUCGUCUGACAUGCCGCCGCGUACUCGCGGCAUGCGAAAAGCCUUUCGCCUCGCCCUAUCCGGCGCGCAUGGAUUUCCUGCGGCGAAUUUGAAUAUUAAAUCGCUCCACAAUUGGAAACGUUUCCACGCAUCAGUGCGCCGAAUUAGCGCCGGCCCCAUUUGCUGCGGCGCAAAUGGAUUACGCCGGGAAGCCGCUUCGGAGGCCGUUUCGCACGCUCUUCGGGCGGCCAAAGGGCCGUAACGAUGCGGCGACUUAUUAACUCGAGUCGGAAAAAAAUUUUAAUGGCGACUUGCCGGUUAUUCAGACGAUUGCUAAUCUGCGGGAGAUGAACAAAUAGCCGGAUCGAAGAUCCGGAAAAAUGAAUAAAUAAAUUAUUUCCGAGAAAAGGCCACCAUGACGACUUACCGUGAUACGCAUACCACUUCGUUCCGGAUCGGCGAUGUCGUGACGCUCAAGACAGGCGGUCCGCGAAUGACGGUGACGUAUGCCGGCCCUGUCGUGUUCGACACGGGCGAAUGGGUGAUCUGCCAAUGGUUCGACGAGAACGGCGAGUUCCGUCAAGAGAUGUUUCCGAACGAGACCGUCGUGCUCGAGCCGCGGACGAUUUCGGCGGGACUCGCGCGGAUGCGCUCGCUGUCGGUGCGCGGCGGCAUGCAGGCGUGACGCCGCGCAUGCGCCGGGCGUAAAGAAUUUGUCAGGAAGACGGCGGGCGUGUGACCGCCGAACGAUGCGCCGCGGCGCCGAAAGGGCGCGCGGC
rnacentral:rRNA from 1 species